rnacentral:rRNA from 1 species
GAUGAACGCUGGCGGCGUGCCUAAUACAUGCAAGUCGAGCGAACGGACGAGAAGCUUGCUUCUCUGAUGUUAGCGGCGGACGGGUGAGUAACACGUGGAUAACCUACCUAUAAGACUGGGAUAACUUCGGGAAACCGGAGCUAAUACCGGAUGAUAUUUUGAACCGCAUGGUUCAAUAGUGAAAGACGGUCUUGCUGCCACUUAUAGAUGGAUCCGCGCUGCAUUAGCUAGUUGGUAAGGUAACGGCUUACCAAGGCAACGAUGCAUAGCCGACCUGAGAGGGUGAUCGGCCACACUGGAACUGAGACACGGUCCAGACUCCUACGGGAGGCAGCAGUAGGGAAUCUUCCGCAAUGGGCGAAAGCCUGACGGAGCAACGCCGCGUGAGUGAUGAAGGUCUUCGGAUCGUAAAACUCUGUUAUUAGGGAAGAACAUAUGUGUAAGUAACUGUGCACAUCUUGACGGUACCUAAUCAGAAAGCCACGGCUAACUACGUG